AGUGAACGCUGGCGGUAGGCCUAACACAUGCAAGUCGAACGGCAGCACAGUAAGAGCUUGCUCUUACGGGUGGCGAGUGGCGGACGGGUGAGGAAUACAUCGGAAUCUACUUUUUCGUGGGGGUGAAGUAAGGGAAAUUUAGCUAAUUACCCCUUCCAACCACGGGGUGCAACCAGGGAACCUUCGACCCUGGCGCGAUUAAAGAACCCGUUGUCGGUUUAGUUAGUUGGCGGGUUAAAGGCCCACCAGGGCGACGAUCCGUAGCUGGUCUGAGAGGAUGAUCAGCCACACUGGAACUGAGACACGGUCCAGACUCCUACGGGAGGCAGCAGUGGGGAAUAUUGGACAAUGGGCGCAAGCCUGAUCCAGCCAUACCGCGUGGGUGAAGAAGGCCUUCGGGUUGUAAAGCCCUUUUGUUGGGAAAGAAAAGCAGCAGGUUAAUACCCCGCUGUUCUGACGGUACCCAAAGAAUAAGCACCGGCUAACUUCGU
rnacentral:rRNA from 1 species